GACGAACGCUGGCGGCGUGCCUAAUACAUGCAAGUGGGACGCAAGGGAACACACUGUGCUUGCACACCGUGUUUUCUUGAGUCGCGAACGGGUGAGUAACGCUUAGGUAACCUGCCUAUUAGCGGGGGAUAACUAUUGGAAACGAUAGCUAAUACCGCAUAAUAUUAAUUAUUGCAUGAUAAUUGAUUGAAAGAUGCAAGCGCAUCACUAGUAGAUGGACCUGCGUUGUAUUAGCUAGUUGGUAAGGUAAGAGCUUACCAAGGCGACGAUACAUAGCCGACCUGAGAGGGUGAUCGGCCACACUGGGACUGAGACACGGCCCAGACUCCUACGGGAGGCAGCAGUAGGGAACCUUCGGCAAUGGACGAAAGUCUGACCGAGCAACGCCGCGUGAGUGAAGAAGGUUUUCGGAUCGUAAAGCUCUGUUGUAAGUCAAG
rnacentral:rRNA from 1 species